AUGAACACUCGCCAAAAAACCUCCGCCCAACUUUGCCAAGUUGCCCGGAGGCUUGGGGUCUACUGUCGGAGUAACCGACCACGGGUAUUUCAAGACAUCGGUGCUAGCAAGCCCCUCAGUCCGACUGUCCGGCCGCUCCUGCCGACUUCCCGUCCGACUGCUCUGCCCGGUCGACUGCCGGCUGCCGACUGCGCCAACCAGCCGGCUACCAACUACACCAACCUGUCGGCUGCCGACUGCGCCAACCAGCCGACUGCCGACUGCAGCCCGACCCGACACCGACAAGACCUCGACGAGACGGCCAUACCGCGGACAAGACAACCAUACCGCGGCGCCAUCAUCUACAGUGUACCGUUUCCCCUGGGUACUGAUUUAUAA
rnacentral:rRNA from 1 species